UUUAUUUUCUUUUUCUCAGUGUUCUUAUAAAAAUAAAAAUGAAAGACAGGAAACAAACAGGGCCUAAAGUGCAGCUGAGUUGUGUCCUAAAAGCAAAUCCUAGAGGCCCAAAAAGACCUUACAAUUUGAUCUGUUCCUCUACACGCACGAAUGCCACCAAAAACAAGCAAGCAACCAGACAAGGCAUCGAUCGCCAGAAAAGCCAUACAUGGUAGCAGAAAAGCGCACGAAAAAGGAAACCCUUUUGCCGCUUUGAUGGAAACCGUGUUGUGGGAUUUAGGGUUUUAGGUUUUGGAAUUAGGACAUCGGAGGAAGGUGUUUAUAUGAUCUGGGUUUUGCUUGAAACUUCCAUAUGUCAAUGAGCAUUCGCAUUUGGUGAAUUUAAGUAACUUUGGGGAAGUGAAACGAUGUUGUCUAAUCAAAGCUAUGCUCGAAUCGAUACUUUAGAGCUCAAAACUUUGAUUAUUAAAAAGAUUGGGCACGGAAGAGCAGAUAAGUACUUUGAUCAGCUGACAAGAUUGUUUAGCUUUAAGAUAACAAAGUCUGAAUUUGAUAAGUUUUGUAUUAAGAUUAUUGGUAGAGAAAAUAUCCCUCUUCACAACCUCCUCAUUCGAUCAAUCAUCAAGAAUGCUUACCUUGCAAAAGUUCCCCCAUCAAAAGGUAUUAAAAGAGUGGGAAGUAGUCUUAAUGUUAAAACUGCAAAUGGGUACCAGAGAAAUUGUCUUCAGUCGCUUUAUGGGGAUGCCUUUCCACCUUCCCCAAGGAAGGGCAGGUCUCCUGUUAAUCGAGAUCGCAAAUUCAGGGACCGCCCAAGUCCUCUUGGGCCACUUGGGAAGCCCCAAAGUGUUGUGUGUGAGGAAUUGAAUUCAAGAGCACAAGAACAGCAAAGUGCUACCGAACUGCUUUCACUUGGUAGUAGACCUCCAGUUGAAGUUGCUUCCGUGGAGGAGGGGGAAGAGGUUGAGCAGGUGGCAGGGAGCCCAGGUGUUCAAAGUAGGAGCCCAGGUGUUCUAAAUAGAAGCCCAGUUACUGCUCCUCUUGGUGUUUCCGUGAAUUUAGGUGGAGCUCGUAAAACUCUUUCAAAUGUUUCUAUAUGUGGUAGUCACCUUCAAGAGACUUGCCUACACACUGGUGAGCUGCCUGACACAAGAUCAUUAAGAAGUCGUUUGGAGCAGAAGUUGGAGAUGGAGGGUAUUAGUGUGUCAGUGGACUGUGUUAACUUGUUGAAUAAUGGGUUGGACAUGUAUUUGAAGAGGUUAAUCGAGCCAUGUAUGGGCUUAGCUAGCUCACGCUGUGGAACUGAUCACUUGAAAGAGGUUAAUGGGCAGUUCACAUCUGGUUCAAAUGGGAUGUUACCUGGGAGAUGCAUGCAAAGACUGAAGGAAUCUGUUUAUGCAUCCAUGUUGGAUUUUCAAGUUGCAAUGGAGUCAAAUCCCCAAAUACUGGGAGGAGAUUGGGCCACAUUACUAGAGAAAAUUUCAUUGCACACUUCUGAAGAGUGAUAAAUAUCUUAAUAGCAAUUACUCGGAAUUCAGCGGUUGAUUAAGUGGGAUAUCGUUUCUUCACAUUAAAUUGAUGAUUCAGAAUUUUGAAUCAAUCACAUCAAUUUUGCUCUCCACUCAUUUUGGGGUGUUAAAAGCAUUUCCAAAAGGAAUAAAUUGUAGCUGUAGAAAUUUUAGAUCAGGUAACAAGGUCUUCUUUAAAUGCCUGAAGAGAUGAUCGUUGAAGGGAUACAUGUUUAUACAGUAAAAUGUAAAAAAUAGAUACAGUUCUUCACAGGCAUCCCCGUGACGGAGGACUUGGCUACACUUGGUAAUAAAAUGCAGAUCUGAUGGUGAUUCCAGGUUGAACAUAUUCUUUCUUAGGUGAGGUUAUUUUUUACUCUAUCAUCAAGCGUGUUUGGAUUUUUUCACGGUUUGCCCUAAAAAUCUCCAUAUCUACGACUCUGAAGACAUCUUGUUUUCAAUUAUGGCCACUAUUAGUGGUAGGUAAGUUCCUAUUUUGCAGAAACAUAAUAAUAAUAAUAAUAAUAAUAAUAAUAAUAAUAAUAAUAAUAAAUUCGAUGAGCAGUAUUGCCUGAAACUUGGACCUGUCAGUUAACAAUAUGGGGGUAUGCGGGUUUUCUCCACUGCUUCAUCAUUUGGUAGAAUGAUAGCUAAUCCUAAUGGAUUUGCAUAUAGGAUUUUAGAUUAGUUACAGCAGUUGACACCGAUGAAAAAAAGGAACAAGUAGUUGUUUUAAUUUGAUCAUUUAAAGAUGAAUCGUCAUGCAGCUCCCACAAGAUGUCCUAUCAACAAGUUCUUGUGGAAUCUAAAUUUUUAGUUGAUCAUCCUUUAAUAUGAGUAUGACUACUUGCUUGAGCUUUUAAAUCUUGUACGUGGUUGCAAUUCCUUGUGCAUUACUGAAAUGAUCAUCUGGAUUUCAUUUGUUUUGGCAGAUACCCUGGAUUCACAGAAGGUCCUAUUGUGUUCUUCUAUUGCGUUCUUCAAUUGGCUUUAAAAGUAAUUGUAUCAGAAAGUAUUAUUGUAGAUGAAAAUGAGGAGAUUCACUUGAUAGGAGAAAAUGCUGUCUUAAUUAUUUUUCUGUUUAUACUGUUAAUGUAUAGGAUUCAGAAAAUUAAGCUAUAAAUAAAUUGCAGUCAUCUAAUCCA